CCUAUAAUGCCGCCUUCCGGUCACCCCGGGGCCACCGGGUACCCCCCACACAGCUUGCGGGGCUCGGGCUCCGCAGAUUGAGGACCCUCACCUUUGUCCCCACUCCUCCUUUCCUCCCAAAUCUAUCCCUGAGACACACAAUCCUUCCUUUAACGGCACUCACCGCCCGGAGGGUUUCCCCAAAUUCAGCUUCUGUUUCCUUUUCAAAUUUUCAUCCGUGGGCACCUCCAGUUCAUCUCCCUUUAAGCAAUGCUUUCAUCCAUCCCUUCUCUCGAGCAUCCUCCUUCAGGCAGGUCUGAUAUUCUGAUUUCACCACCAGACUGGAAAUUGAUCUUCUGAGGUGUGCCUCACUAGUAGCUACAGUUCAGGCUUAUUUAUUACUUAUUUUUUAACAGUCGCUCUUCAGGCAAUGGAGUCAGAGAAGGGAGAGCAUAAACUACAACUGUUCCCAAGGAGUUUAGAUGCAUCUUUGGGCUCUGCCUUCUGUGCUCACCACAAACAACAGUAGACAAAAGAGACUUAUGUUCCAUUCUGAUCCUAGAACUCUGAGAAGACAAAGCAUUUCAAAGUUCCCUGUGCUAACAAGGGACUGCUACCACAGAGUAGAAGUGGCACUGUCACCUCUGGAGGCAAAGAGCAGACUGGUUGAUGAUGAUUCCACCACUUUUGAUUUCACCUGUCAGUAACGAACCACUUCCUUCUUCUAAGAAGCUGAUACCAUAAAGCCCUGAGAAUACACAAAUCCUUUGAAAAAGUGUCUGAUCACACCCACCUGCCUGAAAUAAAUUUUGGCAGCAUCUGCUUCAUCCUAACAGCUGAAGGGAAGUCUUUGGAGUUCCUUGAUCAAAUUGCACUGAGAAAUCCUCUUUUCAGCUGGUGAGAAGGGAAGUUGAAGAAACAGAAGAUAAUAGAAGUAACGCUAGAAUGGAUGAAAUCAAGUCAACCUCAGUGAUCAGUGGAAAAUCAGCUUCACGAAGACUGCAUAUUACUAGCUUUAAAGACUCCAUACACCAGCAUGCCUGGCAGAGUCCUUAGAGUACUAUAAUCAGAUGAAGACCGAACUAAGACUACAUGUGGAGCCAGUGUCCUCUUUUUCCCAGAAUCUUUUUCCCAGUUAGCCUAUUUGUCUUUCAAAUAAAGUUGAUCAU